rnacentral:rRNA from 1 species
UCAGGUCUCCAAGGUGAACAGCCUCUGGCCAAUGGAACAAUGUAGGCAAGGGAAGUCGGCAAAACGGAUCCGUAACUUCGGGAAAAGGAUUGGCUCUGAGGACUGGGCUCGGGGGUCCCGGCCCCGAACCCGUCGGCUAUCGGCGGAUUGCUCGAGCUGCUCACGCGGCGAGAGCGGGUCGCCGCGUGCCGGCCGGGGGACGGACCGGGAAUCGCCCCUUCGGGGGCUUUCCCCGAGCAU